UUACGGAGUUACCGCCUUUGAGCCUUUGAGCCUUUGAGCCUUUGAGCCUUUGAGCACGGGCUUUGAAAUAAAAAAUCAAAUGGGUUUCAACGAAAACUAGUAGCGCACCGCCCAUCAUAAUCCUCGCAAACCGUCCAAUUCAUCUUCAAAAAUCUUAUAACUGUCAAUUCCCUCUUCUUCUUCCUCUUCUCCAAGUAAUAAAAAACCUUCUUAUUCUCAUUCUUCUCCCACUCUCAUCUUAUUGCAUUCAUAUUCAUCAUCCUCUCUCCAAUAACCAAUUCCCAGUUUCAUACGUACCCCUUUUCCUUUCUUGAUUGUUAAGUUUGCUCUCUUCACCGACUUCCGAUUGGCGGCUAUGCGUUUCUUUUCUUCUCCCUUACGGUUACUGGGUUCUAUUUAGUUUUCAUAAUCUUCCUCUCUUCUUAUAUCAUUUUCGUUUCUUCAAUUGCCUUCUGGGUAUCUUUGGUUUUCUUCCUUUAUCACUAAUUUAGCCUUUGGGUUCGUUUUUCUUUGGUUUAUGAUUGAUUUCGGUUUCUAUAUAGCCUUGUUUCGGAUGUCUCUGUUUUAGAUAUCUGGAUUUUUUUCUUCGUUGUUUUAGUACUCUGUUUUUUGUUGUUAGUUGUGUAUUCAAUCGAUGGAGAACAAUCAGGAUCAAUGUCGGUUACAUUUUCAGCAAUUUGGGAACGAUCACCGUCUUGAGAAUGGAGUUGAGGCUUUAAUGCCUUCUUCCAAGACUUUAGGAAACCAUGAUUUCUCCGAUCGAUUCUCCGACGCCGGAGAUUCUUCGACUGGUCCUGAUCAGGACUCGGUGGUUUCGGAUUCUGAAAGUGGGAUUUCAGGGCCGAGUAUGGAGCACUUGGAAUGGAUCAAUGAGGGCUUGGUAAAACUUGUUGAAGAAAAUAAAAUUUACGACCUAAUCAAGAGAAGAUUCGUUACUGGUUUCGGAUUACUUGGUCCGCAAAUCACGGUCUCCUCCGUUUACAAGAAUAGUCAUUCGACUCAUAUUGGGCAAGCCCGUUUGCACACGUUUCAGAUUUACUCGCAAGCAGUAGAGAAGAAGAAUGGGGGUAAUGCCAAUGUCAAAUACGCUUGGUUGGGGGCUUCUAAAGAUCAAAUCAAUAGCAUUCUGGUCUAUGGUUUCUCCCAUUGCAACAAACCCGAGAGUUCGCAGUUUCUUGGCUGUGGCAUUUAUCUCUCCCCUGAUAAUCAUCCUCUAGAAAGUCUGGAAGAUACUGUUGUUGAUGAAGAUGGUUUAAGGCAUUUGUUACUCUGCCGUGUAAUAUUGGGGAAUUCCGAGCUUGUGCAUCCUGGUUCUAGACAGAAUCAUCCAAGUUCUGAAGCUUUUGAUUCUGGUGCUGAUAAUCUCUUUGCACCAGAGAAAUACGUAGUUUGGAGUACACACAUGAACACCCACAUCUUGCCUGAGUAUCUCAUCAGUUUCAGAACUCCUCCUCGCUUGAAAGGAACUUUAAAGGCUAAACAGCCUUUCAGAAUGCCAACCUCCCCUUGGAUGCCAUUUCCGUCUCUGAUUUCUGUUCUCUCUAAGUUUCUGCCUGCUCCUGAAAUUGCCAUGAUUACCAAGUUCCAUAAAGACCACAGGCUUCUAAAUUCUAGGAUCAUAAGAUUUCAAGACAUGAGUUGAUUAAGCGAGUGAGGCAGAUAGCGGGGGACAAGCUGUUGAUACAUGUAAUCAAAUCAUUCAGGACAAAGGAAAGUAAUGGGGAUGUUGGAUUUGAAGGAAAGAGAAGCAGAAAUGGAGAAAGCAAUGGACAGAAAGCAGCUGGGAGUGUAGAUUUACCAAUUUUGUUAGAGUAGUUGGAUUGUGAAGUUUGCAGUUUCUGUUCUGUUACGACAGAAGAUCGAAGUGUAAGCAAAGAAGGCAGGAACUCGAGGAACGAGUUGAAGCGAAACCAGUGGCUAAAACUAACAUUUUAUCUUCUUCAUCAUACUGUACAGCAAAUGCUUGUUUUUCAAGUGGAAGAAUUACAUUACCAGCAAAAUGUUGUUAUUACUGCUUUUACUUUAGAAAAUAAGAUGUGUUUGUGCUUCAAGACAGCGACCAUUAUUAGUUUCUUGAUGAUUUUCCCUUUUCUUUCUUAAUUUUAGAGAUGAAUAUGGUUCUUGUGGAGAA